rnacentral:rRNA from 1 species
UACGAAGGGGGCUAGCGUUGCUCGGAAUUACUGGGCGUAAAGGGCUCGUAGGCGGCCAACUAAGUCAGACGUGAAAUCCCUCGGCUUAACCGGGGAACUGCGUCUGAUACUGGAUGGCUUGAGUUUGGGAGAGGGAUGCGGAAUUCCAGGUGUAGCGGUGAAAUGCGUAGAUAUCUGGAGGAACACCGGUGGCGAAGGCGGCAUCCUGGACCAACACUGACGCUGAUGAGCGAAAGCCAGGGGAGCAAACGGG